rnacentral:rRNA from 1 species
UGGGGAAUUUUGGACAAUGGGCGAAAGCCUGAUCCAGCAAUGCCGCGUGUGUGAAGAAGGCCUUCGGGUUGUAAAGCACUUUUGUCCGGAAAGAAAUCCUUGGCUCUAAUACAGUCGGGGGAUGACGGUACCGGAAGAAUAAGCACCGGCUAACUACGUGCCAGCAGCCGCGGUAAUACGUAGGGUGCAAGCGUUAAUCGGAAUUACUGGGCGUAAAGCGUGCGCAGGCGGUUUGCUAAGACCGAUGUGAAAUCCCCGGGCUCAACCUGGGAACUGCAUUGGUGACUGGCAGGCUAGAGUAUGGCAGAGGGGGGUAGAAUUCCACGUGUAGCAGUGAAAUGCGUAGAGAUGUGGAGGAAUACCGAUGGCGAAGGCAGCCCCCUGGGCCAAUACUGACACUCAUGCACGAAAGCGUGGGGAGCAAACAGGAUUAGAUACCCUGGUAGUCCACGCCCUAAACGAUGUCAACUAGUUGUUGGGGAUUCAUUUCCUUAGUAACGUAGCUAACGCGUGAAGUUGACCGCCUGGGGAGUACGGUCGCAAGAUUAAAACUCAAAUGAAUUGACGGGGUCAUAGCU